CAACAUAGUAAAUUUACGUUUAGCAGAACCAACCCUGUCUCAUUACUUUUAAUAUUAAAGUGAAUUCACUUAUUACCAAAUUUUAAGUCAAGAAUAUUACCCGUGUCUCUAAGUUAUUUAUUGUAUGAUAUUUUAAUUCGUAUGUAAGUUAUGAGCGUGUAUAUUAUUACAAUUUGAAAAUGCUUAUAAAUCGUAUACAAAUUAAACUAUCGUAAAAAAGGCCACUGUGGGGACACGGGUAAUGUAUGCUUAGCUUAAAGUUUGAUGGUGAAAUAAGAUGAAUUCACUCUAACAUUAAAAUUAACAACACAAGGGUUCUGUUAAACAUAAAUGUUCUAUGUCGAGCGUGGGUCAGAGAGAGAGAGAGAGAAAACAAAUGGUGCAUGAAUAGCGAAGACUCAAGACUAGAGAAAAUCUAUUGAUCUAGAUAAUAGCUAGUAUGGAUAUCUAUUCUCUUCAACAUUCAUGUCUAUAAGCCAUAGAGUUAAGCAACUUAAUGAUACGCAUGACCCCUGCAGAAAUACUACCGCACCCAAUCAUAAGUUAUAACAGUGUCAUGACACCGUCCGCCACUCAGGCUCACUGCUCAGUCGCUCAGAUAAUCGGUAGUGGAAUAAUGUUAGUUGUUACAUAUUGCUGAAUGUCGUUUGUGCUUAAUGGCGUUUUUGUGCAUUUUUUACUUCUCUAGUAUACAAUAUUAUUAUAAGCAUUGAUUUUAAAAUAUUUUAAAAUCAAUGUUAUUAGUAAGUUGCUACUCGAUAUAAUUGUUGGUUAACAUUUUAUUAAAUUACAUUGAUUUUUAUUUACGAACAUGGAUACAUCCGGAGCUAUAUCUCUGGUUGCUAUUGCUUUAUCAGUUGGUUUGGCAAUAUUCAAUGAAUGGGACACAAUUGUAGAAAUAUUUAGUGAAUUAUCAGGAAACAGACCGAUGGCCGCAGGCGAGUUAAGUCACGAAGUGUUAGAAACAUUGCGACGAGAAAGAGAAGCAGAAGAACAAAGUAUAAAAGAAAAGAUAAAAAAAUAAAGACAACAUCAAAUGCCAUCAGAAGACGAUAAACCUUUAAAAUAUAAGUGUGUUUUCACGGAAGUAACAAAAGAAAACAGUCCUCACUCCUGAUGCAGCAAAUUAAGUUUAUUCAUCGCCAAAACAAAAAUUAAUUAUCAAAGGUACGGGUACCAGAAGAGCACUAAACCGUUGAAAAAGUCUGCUAGUGGUAGGAACAAACAUUUUUUAGUAAACAGUAAACAGUUUUGACAUAAAAUUAUCGCCCAAAACAGUUUUUAGUAUAAUAUCGUUUAUUCUCGAGUUAUUCUAACUUAUAUCAUUGAUUAUAAUUUUAUUAUUUAAAUUUUUUAAUUUUUAUUUAUAUUUAUACUUAUGUGUUGUGUUGCAGGCUACAAAAUAUCAGUAUAAGUUAAUAUAAUAGAAUACAUUUAUUUUAUAUUUGAAAUAUAACUUUGAAUAAUAUUAGAUAUGAAUUUUUUUAAAUCCUUACCUUGAAUAGAACCAAAUUUUAAUUGAACUGUUUCCAGUUGUUCAUUUGAUGAAGACAUUGUAUAGUUGUAAAUUCAAUUAAUUUAAUAAAAUAAAACAAAAUUUUAAAUUUUAUAUAAUAUAAUAUAUAAUAUUUAAAUAUAAUAAUUUAAAUGUCAUUAAACGAUUAUGUGAUAAAGCAACUGUCAUGAUAGUGUGAUACUGAUAAUAAUAGUACUGAUAAGAGGCAAGUGAUAAAUGCGCAGUGAUAGCCGAUAGGAAAAAUUGUUUUUUUGCUGAUCAUAUUGUCUAUCAUGAUUAGACCCAUACAAGUAAAAACUAGAAAAGUGGAAACAGCUACAACUUAAGUUUUGAGCACGAACGUAAUUAACGGUUUCACGUUGGACUUAUUCAGACGUUCAGUCUCCAGUCUCUAUUUGCUCUUGUAAUAUUCCAGAUAGUACCUAUAGUGUUUCAUUAAAUCACUUUAAUUUUUGUUUACAAACAUGAACAAGACGGUGGCAUUAAGAAAUGGCAGUAAUAUAAUAAUUAUGAUUGCAAUGCUCUUUGGAGCUGGUGCUGCAAUAUGGGAACAUCGUGAAAAAUUGAAAGAGUUUUUUAAAAAAAUCUUAGGAAAAGAAAAGACAAAUCAAGAAGACCUAAUAGAACAGUUAAACUCAUUGCUUAAACAAAGAAUUGAAGAAGACAAAAAUUAAAUUAAGACAAUAGUAAAUGCCAUCAGAAGAUGAUAAACCUUUAAAGUAUAUUUUAUAUAUAUUUUUAUAUUUAUAACACUGAAUUCACUAAUUUUUAUAUUGCAUUAAGAACAUUUUUAUCAUACUUGAAAAUUAAAUAUUAGUUAUAUUGUACAUGGUACUUAAUUUGUUGUAACAUCUAGUAAAUAGUAAUUCAUUACAUUACAUUAAAGGCUAUAGUAUAAUGGCUAAUUGUGGAGCAUUGUCUAAUUCACUUUAGGUACUAUACAUUUUGUGUCUACUAGAUUACUCAAGUACUAAAAAUACAAGUAAAAGAUAUUAUUAACAAAUUAAUAAGUUAUGUCUUAUUAUAAAUGUAUACUGUUAUAAUUUAUAGUUUUGUACUUACGGCCUACCCAUCAGUUUUAUAAUACUUUAUAUUAUUAUGUAUUUGAAUUUUAAUAGCUUAUGAUCAUUUGCUUUAAUGUUACACUAGGAAACUAAAAGUAUGCAAAUAAAAAUAAGUAUUGUCAUUUGCCAUAUAAAUUAAAAUACAUUCAGCCUUCAGGUAGUUUAUUUUAAGUGAAUUCAUAAAUGUAAAAAGUUCUAUCACAACCUAGUUUUGUUGCCACUAAAUAUUAGGAUUUUUUUAGGUUGAUACAAAAGUUUUGUGUUGAGAGUUCCACCACUCCACCAAUAUAUGGAAACACUGAGCAUCGAUCUACAAGUUGUAUGAGGGUUAUUGCAAAUAAAAAUUAUUUAGUGACUAAAGAAUAAGCCUUAUUAAGUAUUAACUGUAAUUACUAUAACAAUAAUAAUGAUAAUUAAUAGGUAAUAAUAACAUAACACAGUGGCGUAGCCAGGAAUUUUGUAUGGAGAGCCUAAGUAAACCAAUACAAUAUGUCUUUUAUUUACA